ACUGCUUCUUGGCCUUCUGGAUGAGGCCAGCUAUAGUAUCUGUUUUUAGCAGCCUACUUCCUGAGGCAUCCUCUACCUGAGGACAAUUGUUUAAGAGGAUUUUUGGAGCAGGAAGGUAGGAGAGGAGCUUGCUUGACCCACACUGCACACAUAAUUCUGGUAUUAUAGUACCUUGAAAAAUAGUAUAUCCCCU